UCGAGAAUCUUCCGCAAUGGGCGAAAGCCUGACGGAGCGACGCCGCGUGUAGGAUGAAGGCCCUCGGGUUGUAAACUGCUGUCACGCUCUAGGAAACCCAUGCCGUUAAUAGCGGUAUGGCUGACUAAAGCGAGAGGAAGUGGCGGCUAACUCUGUGCCAGCAGCCGCGGUAAGACAGAGGCCACAAACGUUGUUCGGAAUCACUGGGCGUAAAGCGCGUGUAGGCGGCUUGAUAAGUCUGGUGUGAAAGCCCGGGGCUCACCCCCGGAAGUGCACUGGAUACUGUCGAGCUCGAGUCCCGGAGAGGAGAGUGGAAUUCCUGGUGUAGCGGUGAAAUGCGUAGAUAUCAGGAGGAACACCGGUGGCGAAGGCGGCUCUCUGGACGGUGACUGACGCUGAGACGCGAAAGCGUGGGGAGCAAACAGGAUUAGAUACCCUGGUAGUCCCUGAGCGGGCUGGCAAGGCGCAU
rnacentral:rRNA from 1 species